GUCCGCGAUGAUGUGGGUUUCAUUGUCCGAGUGAUGAUAAACACUGGGAUUUCACAGUGAUAUCAAUAGUCGACAGUGAAUCGCAUUAUUUUUUACUCCUACAGCCUCAAUUGUCGAACUAUCGCGAUAAUUCCACAUGCACUUCAUGCCAGUUUCCCGGGAACGCUUGAUGCGGUAAUUUCAUCACCUCCAGCAGAUCUAAGUGUCACAGAAUAUAAAACAAUAUUCUCUACAAAAAAGAUAUCAAUAAAAAAUCCGCCAUCUCCCUUAAAUCCCGAGAUAUGGAGUAAAGAAAAUGGAUCGCACCCGAAAAAAAAAUGGACUGAUCCUAGAGUACCACUUGACACUAGAAUCACCUAGAGAAAUGAAACAAGAUCCAAUCAUGAGUUGAGAAUGACGCUGCCAUGAUCCAGUGUCAUCGAUGCAAUCAAACAAACAUUGUAAUAAAGCUCAUGUGUAAAUAAACAGACAUGAGGAUGAAA